rnacentral:misc_RNA from 1 species
UAAUUUAUCCAUUGAUGGUUACCUACAAAGUAAGAUUUAAUAAAGUAAUCAUAGAGUUUCCCCAAAAACCCUGCGACAGAACUGUACUCAAUUCAACGAUCAGCCCCAAUACUUUUUACACAGACGCCAACAACGGACAAGACUUGAGCCAAUGCAAUCGAUAAUAGCCAGAGUGAAAACAGCAGCCCAAAAAUCUGCCUGUUGUUUUAACGUAGCUCGUCGUGAGCUAAAAUUAACCUUUAAUGCUCUUUUACCUUAAUGUUUUCAGCGUUGGAAAAAAAAAAAAUGGAAUCCUGCAAAUACAAAGCUGAUCAGAGCCAAAUGAAGACAAGAAGCCAACUGAAAAUUGAUAACUGUCGAUAAUUAUAAAUUCCAUCAAACCUUCCUAAACACUAGGAGUCAGUCAUCUACGGAUCCACUGAGCAAGCAAACACAUUAACCAUAGUAGAGAACAACGACCACCUCACUAGAUAAUUACAAGGCCAACUUUUUGGUAGAUACAAAAAUUACACCUAUAGGCCGUAGCAACACAAAAGCAUCUCUCACACAUUCAGAUUUUACUCGAUGAUCAUUCCAUCAUUUACAAUUCAGGCGAAUGACAGUCACCAGACAUGUGGUCGAUGAUGAGUUUCAUAUUCAAUUAUUAGCAUCAGCCAUUGGAAGAUCAUUUUGCACUUGACGAACAAACUGCCCUUUUACUCGAGGGCGCUGCUCUGCUAGUCUUUUCCGGCUUUGGUAUCGAACCUUUUUCUCAUAGCAUCGAUCUUUCCGCUUCAGUCGGAACUUUGUCAGGGCUGCUUCUCUUUGGCUAAAACGAUGAGAAUCCAUCUCUUUGAAUCUGUCAUAAACAAAGAAGCCCCCAUCAUUCACUCUCUCUGGAACCAUAGCCUUCUCAGAUGCCACAACCAAAGUAGCACUUCCCUCAUGUCUACUGCAAAAGCUUCCAUAUGCACUGCUGUUACUGUCAUCUGCAAUGCCAUUACACAUGCUGCUACUAGUACUCUGACUGGCAGCUGGAGAGCCAUGUCUCAGUUCCUCCGCAAGUUCCAUAUUAUUCUGCUGAUGCAAACUUUGGUCCACAGAAUUGGUGGUAGUUUCUUCAGAUUGUCUGUUAUUCUGUUCAGAGUCCUGAAUUUCAGAAUUUGAAUGAAUUGAAGUACUAAAUGGAGAAUGUUCUCGUUGGCUGGCCAGUUUGGGACUCCAAGCUGGGGGUAAACCUGUUUGUCUAUGAUAUACAGGAGGAAUCACAUGGCCAUAUCUGGUACAGAGAUUGUCAAGCCUUACCCCUGGGAUACGAAUCAGCUGUUGAGGGUUUGAAUGUGCUAGUUCAGCCUGCCCAGAAUGACCAACGACCAUAGUAGUCAUGAUUUCUUGACUGCCAUUCAGACUGGCACUAUGUCUUUGAGAAACACUGCUAAUAUUUUGAGAAACAUGAUUGGGUGACAGCUCUAGAGACUUACUAGCAUCUUCCUUGAACUUGGUAAAGUUACUGGUUGAUGUUGGAAAAAGAGGUUGCAAUGUCUUACUAUUAUACCAUGAAAAAGCCGAAGCAUUAGAAUGGUUCAGCAAAUGCUUUUCCUCAACCCCUUGAUUCUUUGAGCUGUUGGGAAAAAAUCUUCUUAGAGAAAGUUCCAGCUGUGAAGUGAACUCAAACUUGUUUGUGCCGCCAAUUUUAGUCGUAUGCCCAUAUAUGCAUUUUGGGCCAUUAUCAAAUGAACCAAUCAAAUCAACAGUUCCACUAGAAGAUUCAACCAGUUCAUUAUUGUGGCCCUGAGAGGCAUUAGCAUUUCCCCUAAUAUUUUCUGGUCUUGGACUUUCAUCUUGGAUCAUUGACUUAGCACAGCAAGGAUGUUCUCCCAGUUUCUGAGCGGGUAGAUUAUAAGCUUCAUUGCAUGAUACACUCAUUAUCCCCAAUUGAGUUGACCAAUCUCCAGUUUUACUCUCAGGGUUAACUGCCCUUUUGUCAAGCACGGCACACUCUUUGUACUUCUCUUUCUCCGUAUUACUCAGAUUUGACUCACUACUAUACUUCAUCUGUGAAAGACCCUGCAUAUUUUGUACGUGAGCACUCUCAGGUUCCAAGUAAGGGGUCGUACAAGAGGUGCAAAAACAUGCAGUCCCUAAGUGAAACUUCAUGAACCCAGCCUAGUCUGGAAAGAAAAUUUCCCUCACAGUUCUUUAAGUGGCUUCACAAAAGUAUGUUGUCAUGGAUCUCAGAUGCAUCUAUAAACUACUGCCUUUUUCAUAUAGAUUGUGUGAUCAAUGAGCCAAAAACAAGAUUGAGAAAAGAAGAUAGCAGAUUGAUUCACAACAGGUUAAGUUUGAGGCAGCCUUUGAAAAAUUGAUAGAUAAACCAACUUCUGGGAAGGAAGGCUUUCUACACAGAGAUUUUCCAUCCAUAAAAGAAUAACUACGAGGUAACUAAUGCUUACUUGGGCAUCGCUCCUUUUCUCGCUGCAUUCCUUUCUUUUAUGUGAGAAAGUUGCACAAUCACUACAGUGAUCACUUGUCGAAUUGUUUUCAAAGGUGGAUUCAACUUUAUGCUGUGCGACAGGUGAAUUAUGAGGAAUAUGUCCAACAGUUAGCUGAUCAAGAAUUUAAGAAAAUACAUAUUCCAUAUUAUUCGUACAACAUGAACUAACAAAUGGACCAAACCCGACAAACGCAAAAAAUAAACUGGAAGGUGAAAAUUACAGUUUGCCUUCUCCAAACAUGCUGCCACAGGUUCCUCAGCUCAUUUUUCCUAACAGGCUUAAUGAGAAAGUCAGCCGCACCUUUUAACAUGCACUUCAAAACCAAGCUAACUGAAUUGUGUGAAGACAUCACUGUGUAGCCGUGAGUAAACAACAAAUGCUAACACAUUCAGUUCCACGCUCAAUAAAGAUAAAAGUAGUAAAGAUGACAAAAAAUUUUGGUUGAAGAUAAACAUACUUAUGACAGGAAUGUUUUUGCAAAUGUCAUGCUCCAUGACCAAAGUAAGCAGUGCAUAUCCUGAUAUUGAUGGCAGCUCUACUUCUGUUAAUAUGAGAUCUAUGUUAUGGGGUCUACCCUUUAAGGCCUCCCAUGCCAUUAAUCCAUCAGGAACAGCUACAACUAUGUAACUGCAUUUCCGAAGAAGCGCAGCGAUAAUCUGGCGCGUAGAAUCAUCGGCCUCAACCAGUAGAACUCUAAGCACCAUUCUUGGAAGAAACUUCUCCCACAGAACCACCUCCGAUGAUUCAUCCUUAUUCUCUGUUUCUUUCUUCUUCUCUGCCUCCUCCUCUGUCCGCAACUGCACUUCCAUCCCUCCUCCGCUGCUCACACCCCCAUUCUCAAACACGCUCAUCCUUAACGAGAUUACAAAAUAUGUAUAUGAGAAGUCCGCUGAAAUUAUAGUGUAAAAUAAAGAGAGAGAAAGCAAAACCGCCUCCAAAUCGAUAUCCAACUUUCUCUGACAACCGCGAAAACCGCUUAAAAUAUCUUUGCCUUCAGAGAGACGACUUUUUU